UCUCAAGAUAAAAUCAUGAGACGCUUAACAAAUGAAGAAGAUGGUAAACCCCAACUUCCUCCUCCUCGGGGUAUUUUUGUCCCCAGCAGCCGUUUCGGAGUUACCAAACCACACAGUGAUGCAGAAAGUCGGGCUCCUCUCCACCGUGCCCCGUUCUAAAGUAGAUGUUGCUGUGCUUUCCUCACCACAGAGGUGGAUUUGCUAGUCCAGGUCAGGUCGUUCAAGAUGUCCACGCUGAAGAAUUGACUCUGUGGCUUUGUUAACCUCAAAGGAGAAUGUGCUGGAGGAGCAGAGGCAUUGAGGGAGGAGAAGCGGGUGUGUGAUGGUUGGCAAGCCGUGGAUCUGAAGUGAAAGGAGAGGUGGUCAGAGCGGUGCAGAGAGCCUCUGUGGCUCCAAAAGCAGACCUCGAGGCUGGCCACCUUUGUGAUCAGAGACUGAUACGAACAUGAGUUGUUAUCAGCUGCCAAGCCCAACUUACACAAAGACAAUUAUGAACGUAUCUCUAAGUACUUGACAGUAGUGGAGCUCUGUAGAACCGGCCUCCGUCUUUACCAGAACCUCAGUCUGUCUUAAACACGAUGACUCAGCAGAAAAGGAACUGCUCGGAGUUUCCUUUAGUUUCGUUUCUACAUUUCUUCUCACCGUAGGACCCGACAGUCGGUGUGCUGAGCUGCAUGCCGUGUGCUCCAGCCCAUAAUAACAGCCUAUGUGGGUUAAUCCAGUUACAUAAGAUCUGUCCUAAUGACCCCGUGUGUUGCUGCAGGUAACGGGUUUAUGGUGCACACACACACACACACACACACAUGUAUGUGCACGUUACACAUGCAUGUACUCACACAUAUGCAUGCAAACACACACACACACACACACACGUAUGUGCACGUUACACAUGCAUGUACUCACACAUAUGCAAACAAACACACACACACAUGUAUGUGCACGUUACACACGCAUGUACUCACACAUAUGCAUGCAAACACGUAUGUGCACGUUACACAUGCAUGUACUCACACAUAUGCAUGCAAACACGUAUGUGCACGUUACACAUGCAUGUACUCACACAUAUGCAAACAAACACACACACACACAUGUAUGUGCACGUUACACACGCAUGUACUCACACAUAUGCAUGCAAACACACACACACACAAACACACACACACAUGUAUGUGCACGUUACACACGCAUGUACUCACACAUAUGCAUGCAAACACGUAUGUGCACGUUACACAUGCAUGUACUCACACAUAUGCAAACAAACACACACACACAUGUAUGUGCACGUUACACACGCAUGUACUCACACAUAUGCAUGCAAACACGUAUGUGCACGUUACACAUGCAUGUACUCACACAUAUGCAUGCAAACAAACACACACACACAUGUAUGUGCACGUUACACAUGCAUGUACUCACACAUAUGCAUGCAAACAAACACACACACACACGUAUGUGCACGUUACACAUGCAUGUACUCACACAUAUGCAUGCAAACACGUAUGUGCACGUUACACAUGCAUGUACUCACACAUAUGCAUGCAAACAAACACACACACACAUGUAUGUGCACGUUACACACGCAUGUACUCACACAUAUGCAUGCAAACACGUAUGUGCACGUUACACAUGCAUGUACUCACACAUAUGCAUGCAAACAAACACACACACACACACAUCUGUGACUGAUUUACAGAUUUGCAUUGCCUCUUUAAGAUGACAUGAAGUGCUGCUCCUGCUAUUCACUCAUUCAUACAGUCAGGUGUUGACAUCACUCCACAGAGGAGUGAACACGGGGGACAGGGGGGUGCUGAGGACCAGGGUUGAGAAACCUGCUUGGAUCACAUGACGCCAGUGAAUGAGAAACCACCACAUUUAUAUAAAUGAUGUUCAUCAAUGAAGUUUAAUUCAGCUCAUCUGUCAGAGUGGAAGAACAGCGCCACCCAGUGGCCUUUCACUGAAUAACUGGUCAGGGCUUAGUGUAAGGUCAUGUGAAACGUGGCGAUUUUCAGAACUUAUUGUGGUAAUGUCAUCAUGCAGCUCCUCCUAAAGCCCAAGCUCCGGUAGCUUCAGUGUGACUCAUGCCUCUGAUGUCCCCGGUGUCUUACAGAGGACGUCCUGACUAAAGACGCAGGAGAGUGUGCCAUCUGCCUGGAGGAGCUGCAGCAGGGAGACACCAUUGCCCGCCUGCCCUGCCUCUGCGUCUACCAUAAAGGGUUUGUUUGUGGGCGGGGUCUAACAUCCAUGUUUAUUCAUGAAACCUGACAGCUGCCUUAAAGAGGAAGAAGGUGCUUUAGCUCCUUUCAUCAUAAAAGUCACAAGUUUAUAGAAAUGAUUCAGGAGCUGGAGAGCCUGUCCUGUCCUGCUGUCCCUCCCCGUCCCCUCAGGCUCUCAACAGUAGCUUCACGUAUAAAGGUUGUGGGUUUGAAACCUGUUGAUGAUGUCGUGUCUCCCGCCCUACAGCUGUAUCGAUGAGUGGUUUGAGGUGAACCGGUCCUGUCCGGAGCAUCCAUCAGACUAAAGCUUGCACAGGCCGACCUGGAGAGGACCUACAGAUGGGAGAUGGCUGGACGCCGUGAGCACUGUGAUGGAGGACGUCCACGUCCCCAACCCAGCGUAGGACCACCAGAUGCCAAAUGUCACCGCAGCGAUCUUCAGGGAUUCAAACUUUGUGUUUAUGUUUGAGGUUCACGUCUACACUCAGCCUCGGAGCCCCGCCCACGACACAGGGUCACUCCGCCCUCAUCUCUGACUCCUCCCACUCCCAGUGCCUUGUGAUGUCCAGCACACAACAGGGCAGCACAGAGACCACACCCCCCUGCAUUAGUGCCAAUCAGCUGUGAGUCUCACCCGUGGACCUGAACCUCAAACCUCUGAUCGCCGUGCUCUCUCUGGCUGGAACAGCUGAUCCAUAAAACCAGCUGAUUGGUCCGGUUCCUGUUUGUCACCAGGAUGUAGCCGGGUCCAGGCUCCAGGACCGUCACACACCGGUCACCAUCUACAUAAACAGAAAUGGGAGGCGGGGCCUAAUCAGGCUGCUGUAGUUUGUUCUCCACACCCGUCUGCAGAGGUCCGUCGCCAUGGCUACAGGUUUCUCUCACCAUCCCUGUAGGGUGGACACAGCAGUGCUCCUAAUGAGAACAUCUGACAUGAACAGGAAGUCCAAACGAAACGAGAACAAACUCGUGAAAAAGGGAAAAUCAUCUUGAUUCGUUCUUUAAGGGUUUGAUGGAUCAGUGUUUACCAGCUGCUGGUUACCAUGGAGACCAGAGCCAGCCCACGCUAGCUGGAGACACCAGUGACACAUUGUUGGGAAGCUUCUUAAAGGUCAGGUCAUGAUGGUCAUGUGAUGUAACCAUCAACCAGAUCUGGCCUUCAGAGGGCUGAAAACGCUCGCACACCUCGCGCUUCCUGAGUCUGGGAAGGUCGGAGAAGUCUGGACGACUGUCGUGACCAACAUGGAGAACCCCUGAAGACAUCUGCCGGCCUUUUGGUGACGGCCUCCCCAGGAAGAUCCUGGCCCCGGAGGGUUCCUUAGGGUCCUGGAUGUCCUGGUUUCCAUUCCUGAGGGUGUGAAACUCUGGGAUCAGGUUUGAAGCGGCCCUAACCGGAACCCCCCCCCCCCCCCCCCCCCCCAGGGCCAGUUAUGUGCUGCGCUUCCACAUCGUGCUGAGCGUAGUUUAGGUUGACAGGAAGUCAAACACGAGCUGAAUUAGAAGAAAAGUGCCCAUCUCGUAAGCAGAGGGUUGCUGGUUCAAGCCCUGUUCAGUCUGUGGUAGUCAUUGUGCCCUUGGGCAAGACACUUACCCUCCUGGCCUGCUGGUGGUUGGAGGGACCGGUGAGGGCUCGGGUUCCUCUGGGCACCCCCCCAGGGUGUGAAUGGCUGAACUGUAAAGCACCUUGGGGGGUUGUAGAACCUUUACUGCCCGGCGUGGUUCUUCGGCACAGCUGUGGUUGUGUCUGAAACGCUCCUGGUGCUGUCUGGACCGCUCACACAUCCAGUGGAAAGGCUGGGACAUGUGGACAUCACUCCUUUGAGGAGUGAUGUCCACAUGUCCCAGCGGAGUAGCGGUCCCCUGGUCUAACUGGUGAACGCUCCUCAGACCAGAACCGAUGAGGGAUCGUCCUGAUCCUCUCUUCCCAGCGGUGCAGAGUUAGUGCCGGUAAACUGGUUUAUGAUUAGAGCUGUGGGUUUACUGGUGCUGGUCUGAAGGCGUGACAGUAAAGCAGCAGUAGAUGGAGGACUUCAUGUGCACGUUUAACCACGCAGCAGGGUUAGGCUUUAGUUUCAGUUCUUCAAAUAGAACGUCUCCUCUUCCAGUUCUGGCUUAAGGGAACGACGUCCCUCUACUGCUGCAUGACCCUAACCCUCCUAAAGGGUCGGGGUCACGACCCUAACCCUCCUAAAGGGUCGGGGUCACGACCCUAACCCUCCUAAAGGGUCGGGGUCACGACCCUAACCCUCCUAAAGGGUCGGGGUCACGACCCUAACCCUCCUAAAGGGUCGGGGUCACGAACCUAACCCUCCUAAAGGGUCGGGGUCACGACCCUAACCCUCCUAAAGGGUCGGGGUCACGACCCUAACCCUCCUAAAGGGUCGGGGUCACGACCCUAACCCUCCUAAAGGGUCGGGGUCACGACCCUAACCCUCCUAAAGGGUCGGGGUCAGGACCCUAACCCUCCUAAAGGGUCGGGGUCACGAACCUAACCCUCCUAAAGGGUUGGAGUCACGACCCUAACCCUCCUAAAGGGUCGGGGUCACGACCCUAACCCUCCUAAAGGGUCGGGGUCACGACCCUAACCCUCCUAAAGGGUCGGGGUCACGACCCUAACCCUGACCCUAUCAAACAGGACAGAAGGUAGAAGAGCUGGCUGGUGGGAGAAGUGUCUGAAUGUUUAUUUGCCAGCAGAACCCGAACGAGCCUCUCAGACGCGACGCGGCCGUGUUUAAAGGCUUUAGUCUGCUUGUUGAUCAGGAAAAACAACGUUUCACUGUGAAGAGGAGCGCUGAAGAUCCUCCUCUGGUGUCUCUGAGAAGCCAUGCUGGAGCUGACCCUUUAAAGACUGACGGGACGUUUCUGCGUGGGAUGACUGGGUCACAGGAGAACCUUCCAGAAGCCCCGCAGGCUGGUGCUGCAGCUGUGGGACCUCUGCUGUCGACGCUCUUGUGUUACGCUGUGGAAGCUCCACUUCCUGUUUGCAGCCAUAUGGCGAGCAUCUUGGUGCUCUGAUGGAGUUCUUUCAGUUCUGACUUUGUACUGAUGCUUGUUGAUCUCCACGUCUGACCAUACAGCUGAUUGUAGGACAUGUUCACCAAGCCUUAAUAGAUGUGACCUUUCCCUCUCCUGUCUGUCUCCUAACGAUGGUUUAGUAGUUUACCAGCUGCUGGAGGAGGAACCUCCCAUCAUGCACCACUGCAGGCGUGGCCGCUGCACAACCAGCUGCAGCUCUUCCUGUAAAGUAUCAGCAAUAAAUCUGAGUAAAACGA